AAAUUGAAGAGUUUGAUCAUGGCUCAGAUUGAACGCUGGCGGCAGGCCUAACACAUGCAAGUCGAGCGGAAACGAGUUAUCUGAACCUUCGGGGAACGAUAAUGGCGUCGAGCGGCGGACGGGUGAGUAAUGCCUAGGAAAUUGCCCUGAUGUGGGGGAUAACCAUUGGAAACGAUGGCUAAUACCGCAUGAUGCCUACGGGCCAAAGAGGGGGACCUUCGGGCCUCUCGCGUCAGGAUAUGCCUAGGUGGGAUUAGCUAGUUGGUGAGGUAAGGGCUCACCAAGGCGACGAUCCCUAGCUGGUCUGAGAGGAUGAUCAGCCACAC
rnacentral:rRNA from 1 species